CCUACGGGUGGCAGCAGUGAGGAAUAUUGGUCAAUGGACGAGAGUCUGAACCAGCCAAGUAGCGUGAAGGAUGACUGCCCUAUGGGUUGUAAACUUCUUUUAUAUGGGAAUAAAAUGUUCCACGUGUGGGAUUUUGUAUGUACCAUAUGAAUAAGGAUCGGCUAACUCCGUGCCAGCAGCCGCGGUAAUACGGAGGAUCCGAGCGUUAUCCGGAUUUAUUGGGUUUAAAGGGAGCGUAGGUGGAUUGUUAAGUCAGUUGUGAAAGUUUGCGGCUCAACCGUAAAAUUGCAGUUGAAACUGGCAGUCUUGAGUACAGUAGAGGUGGGCGGAAUUCGUGGUGUAGCGGUGAAAUGCUUAGAUAUCACGAAGAACUCCGAUUGCGAAGGCAGUUCACUGGACUGCAACUGACACUGAGGCUCGAAAGUGUGGGUAUCAAACAGGUUUAGAUACCCUUGUAGUC
rnacentral:rRNA from 1 species